GAUGAACGCUAGCGGCAGGCUUAACACAUGCAAGUCGAGGGGCAGCGAGGGUAGCAAUACCUGUCGGCGACCGGCGCAAGGGUGCGUAACGCGUGAGCAACAUGCCCGUAUCAGGGGGAUAAUCCAGGGAAACUUGGUCUAAUACCCCAUAGUAAUGUUUUCAGGCAUCUGGAGAUAUUUAAAGCUUUGGUGGAUACGGAUUGGCUCGCGUGACAUUAGUUAGAUGGUAGGGUAACGGCUUACCAUGACUAUGAUGUCUAGGGGUUCUGAGAGGAAGGUCCCCC
rnacentral:rRNA from 1 species